AAUAGAUACCCGGGUAGUCCACGCCGUAAACGAUGGAUACUAGCUGUUGGAGGUAUCGACCCCUCCAGUAGCGAAGCUAACGCGUUAAGUAUCCCGCCUGUGGAGUACGGUCGCAAGACUAAAACAUAAAGGAAUUGACGGGGACCCGCACAAGCGGUGGAUUGUGUUCUUUAAUUCGAUGAUAAACGAAGAACCUUACCAGGGUUUGACAUCCCAAGAAUUAUGCCGAAAGGCGUGAGUGCUUUAUUGAACUUGGUGACAGGUGAUGCAUGGCCGUCGUCAGCUCGUGUCGUGAGAUGUUUGGUUAAGUCCAUCAACGAGCGCAACCCUUGUGAAUAGUUGAAUUUUUCUAUUCAGACUGCCCCGGCAACGGGGAGGAAGGAGGGGAUGAUGUCAGGUCAGUAUUUCCCUUGCAUCCUGGGCUAGAAACGCAAUACAAUGGUUAGUACAAUGCGCAGCGAAGCCGCGAGGUGAAGCAAAUCGCAUCAAAGCUAAUCCCAGUUCGGAUAAGAGGCUGAAACUCGCCUCUUUGAAGUCGGAA
rnacentral:rRNA from 1 species